GGAAGUAAAAGUCGUAACAAGGUCUCCGUAGGUGAACCUGCGGAGGGAUCAUUACAAGUGACCCCGGUCUAACCACCGGGAUGAACCUACCUAUAUCGUUGCCUCGGCGGGACAGCCCCGGGUUUGCCUCUGCGCCCCGGAACCAGGCCCCCGCCAGAGGACCCCCAAACUCUGUUUUGUUUUGGUCUCUUCUGAGUCUUUGCCUUCCGGCAAUGAAAAAAAUACAAUCAAAACUUUCAACAACGGAUCUCUUGGUUCUGGCAUCGAUGAAGAACGCAGCGAAAUGCGAUAAGUAAUGUGAAUUGCAGAAUUCAGUGAAUCAUCGAAUCUUUGAACGCACAUUGCGCCCCCUGGUAUUCCGGGGGGCAUGCCUGUUCGAGCGUCAUUUCACCACUCAAGCCUCGCUUGGUAUUGGGCAACGCGGUCCGCCGCGCGCCUCAAAUCGACCGGCUGGGUCUUUCGUCCCCUCAGCGUUGUGGAAACUAUUCGCUAAAGGGUGCCGCGGGAGGCCACGCCGUAAAACAACCCCAUUUCUAAGGUUGACCUCGGAUCAGGUAGGGAUACCCGCUGAACUUAAGCAUAUCAAUAAGCGGAGGA
rnacentral:rRNA from 1 species